UACAGAGGUCUCAAGCGUUGUUCGGAUUCAUUGGGCGUAAAGGGUGCGUAGGUGGCGCCGUAAGUCGGGUGUGAAAUUUCGGAGCUUAACUCCGAAACUGCAUUCGAUACUGCGGUGCUUGAGGACUGGAGAGGAGACUGGAAUUCAUGGUGUAGCAGUGAAAUGCGUAGAGAUGUGGAGGAACACCAGUGGCGAAGGCGACUCUUUGGCCUGUAACUGACACUGAGGCGCGAAAGCGUGGGGAGCAAACAGG
rnacentral:rRNA from 1 species